AACGCAUCUUGCGCCUAUUAGUAUUCUAGUAGGCAUGCCUAUUCGAGCGUCGUUUCUCCAUUCAACUCCUGAGUUGGUGUUAGAAGUCAAGUCUUUGGUGACUGGCUUCCCAAAUUCAAGUGCUAAAUGUAUUUGGCGUUCUUCUACAGAGUAAAUUUUGUUUGUUUAAGAACACAUUUACAUUAGAUUGACAAUUAUUUUUCAAGUUGACCUCGAAUUAGGUAGGAAUACCCGCUGAACUUAA
rnacentral:misc_RNA from 1 species